rnacentral:rRNA from 1 species
AGAGCGAACGCUGGCGGCGUGCUUAACACAUGCAAGUCGAACGAGGUCUGUAGCAAUACAGAUACUCGUGGCGAACGGGUGCGUAACACGUGGAUAACCUUCCUUCAGGUGGGGAAUAACCCAGUGAAAAUUGGGCUAAUACCGCAUAACAUGACGAUGCCACAUGGUGUUGUCUUCAAAGGCGCAAGUCGCCAGAAGAGGGAUCCGCGGCCGAUUAGCUAGUUGGCGAGGUAAUGGCUCACCAAGGCAAUGAUCGGUAGCCGGACUGAGAGGUUGGCCGGCCACACUGGAACUGAGACACGGUCCAGACUCCUACGGGAGGCAGCAGUGGGGAAUCUUGCACAAUGGACGAAAGUCUGAUGCAGCAACGCCGCGUGGGGGAUGAAGCUUUUCGGAGUGUAAACCCCUUUCGACCCGGAAGAAAGCCCGCAAGGGUUUGACGGUACGGGUAUAAGAAGCCCCGGCUAACUACGUGCCAGCAGCCGCGGU